rnacentral:rRNA from 1 species
CAAGAGCGUAUAUUAAAGUUGUUGCAGUUAAAAAGCUCGUAGUUGGAUUUCUGGUACAACGCGCCUGGCCCGCUUACGUGAGUGCCGGUGCGCGUUUGCCAUCCUUCUAGAAAACGUCUCUACUCGGGCAACUGAGCCGGAUUCGCGAUCUAGAUCUUUUACUUUGAAAAAAUUAGAGUGUUCAAAGCAGGCCUUUGCUCGAAUACAUUAGCAUGGAAUAAUAGAAUAGGACGUGUGGUUCUAUUUUGUUGGUUUCUAGGACCGCCGUAAUGAUUAAUAGGGAUAGUCGGGGGCGUCAGUAUUCAGCUGUCAGAGGUGAAAUUCUUGGAUUUGCUGAAGACUAACUACUGCGAAAGCAUUCGCCAAGGAUGUUUUUCAUUAAUCAGGGAACGAAAGUUAGGGGAUCGAAGACGAUUAGAUACCA